GAUGAACGCUGGCGGCGUGCCUAAUACAUGCAAGUCGAGCGAACAGACGAGGAGCUUGCUCCUCUGACGUUAGCGGCGGACGGGUGAGUAACACGUGGAUCACCUCCCUAUAAGACUGGGAUAACUUCGGGAAACCGGAUCUAAUACCGGAUAAUAUAUUGAACCGCAUGGUUCAAUAGUAAAAGACGGUUUUGCUGUCACUUAUAGAUGGAUCCGCGCCGCAUUAGCUAGUUGGUAAGGUAACGGCUUACCAAGGCGACGAUUCGUAGCCGACCUGAGAGGGUGAUCGGCAACACUGGAACUGAGACACGGUCCAGACUCCAACGGGAGGCAGCAGAAGGGAAUCUUCCGCAAUGGGCGAAAGCCUGACGGAGCAACGCCGCGGGAGUGAUGAAGGUCUUCGGAUCGUAAAACUCUGUUAUUAGGGAAGAAGAAAUGUGUAAGUAAAUAUGCACGUCUUGACGGUACCUAAUCAGAAAGCCACGGCUAACUACGUG
rnacentral:rRNA from 1 species